rnacentral:SRP_RNA from 1 species
GCCAGGCGCUGUGGUGCAUGCCUAUAGUCCCAGCCACUCGGGAGGCUGAGACUGAAGGAUUGCUUGAGUCCAGGAGUUCUGGGCUGUAGUGUGCUAUGCCAAUCGGGUGUCUACACUAAGUUCGGCAUCAAUAUGGUGACCUCCCAGGAGCGGGGGACCACCAGAUUGCCUAAGGAGGGGUGAAGUGGCUCAGCUCAGAAACAGAGCAGGUCAAAACUCCCGUGCUGAUCAGUAGUGGGAUCAGGCCUGUGAAUAGCCACUGCAUUCCAGCCUAGGCAACACAGUGAGACCCCACCUCU